AUGUAGAGCCUGAUUAAAGGAUUACCGUGAUAGGGUAAAACAUGUAAGAAAACUACCUGCAUUAA
rnacentral:tRNA from 1 species